rnacentral:miRNA from 1 species
UUGGAAUGUAUAUAUACGUAUGCUGGCAGUUGGUUGUAUAUGUAUAUAUAUAUAUAUACACACACACAACCAACUGCCAGCAUACGUAUAUAUUCU